rnacentral:rRNA from 1 species
UGGGGAAUAUUGGACAAUGGGCGCAAGCCUGAUCCAGCAAUGCCGCGUGUGUGAAGAAGGCCUUCGGGUUGUAAAACACUUUUAUCAGGAGCGAAACGCUGUCGGCUAAUACCCGGCGGAACUGACGGUACCUGAGGAAUAAGCACCGGCUAACUUCGUGCCAGCAGCCGCGGUAAUACGAAGGGUGCAAGCGUUAAUCGGAAUUACUGGGCGUAAAGCGUGCGUAGGCGGUUUCUUAAGUCUGCUGUGAAAUCCCCGGGCUCAACCUGGGAAUGGCAGUGGAUACUGGGAGGCUAGAGUGUGUCAGAGGGUGGUGGAAUUCCCGGUGUAGCGGUGAAAUGCGUAGAGAUCGGGAGGAACAUCAGUGGCGAAGGCGGCCACCUGGGACAACACUGACGCUGAGGCACGAAAGCGUGGGGAGCAAACAGGAUUAGAUACCCUGGUAGUCCACGCCCUAAACGAUGCGAACUGGAUGUUGGUCUCAACUCGGAGAUCAGUGUCGAAGCUAACGCGUUAAGUUCGCCGCCUGGGGAGUACGGUCGCAAGACUGAAACUCAAAGGAAUUGACGGGGUCAUAGCUGUUUCC